rnacentral:rRNA from 1 species
UACGUAGGUGGCAAGCGUUGUCCGGAAUCAUUGGGCGUAAAGGGCGCGUAGGUGGCCCCUCAAGCGUGCGGUGAAAGUCAGGGGCUCAACCCCUGAUCGGCCGUGCGAACUGGGGAGCUUGAGCACUGUAGAGGCAGGCGGAAUUCCGGGUGUAGCGGUGGAAUGCGUAGAGAUCCGGAAGAACACCGGUGGCGAAGGCGGCCUGCUGGGCAGUUGCUGACACUGAGGCGCGACAGCGUGGGGAGCAAACAGG